CAAACAUCAAAAUUAAUAUGUUAAAUUAAUAUAUUCAAGUUCUUUUAGAUUGAUGCAAUUUACUCUUAGAAAAAGGGGACUGAAGAACAGAGUAAAAAGAGUAGAGCCAAAAGAAUAAAAAUAGUUUAUAUUGAGGGGGAUUGUAGAUGUCUAUCAUUUGAUCCCUCGCCUAAAACCAAUGUUUGAUCCCCUCAUGUCAAUCAUAAAGAGUAUGGAAACCAUCACUGAGGAGCACAAUGCUAAUCUUUUGUGGCGAGAUUCUAUGAGGGAACAAUAUGCGGAUGACCUGUUCUAUAAGGAGAUCAAGGAUCUCAAGAUAUUCAAAGUCACAAUCGUUGCAUUGUUUGUGAAUCCCCGUAUUGGUCAACCCGUAGACCCCCAAAAAACAAAACUUUCUAUUAAAUCGUGCACAAAUGAUGGUAUUGUGAAAAACUUUUGGGAUCAUUUGUGGAUGGUUUUCGACAAACCACCCAACAACAAUCUUGAUGUCCCCUUCUACUUCAUCAAAAAAUUGUAUGCUGAGUUUGUUUUAGGAAAACAUGUGAACUACUUUGACAUCCAACCUUUCUAGGGUGUGGGUUUCGGUAUGCCCCAAAAUAGACCUGGGUAGUCAGAGUAGUCUAGGGCCCAUAUGUCCCCCCUCCUCCUAUUGAUCCCCCACCUCCAGUGCAACAUCCAGAUAUCAUUUGUGAGGCGACAUCACGUACCAUAUCAGUUAUUCACUCUUUGAGUAGCCUUUUGGUUUCUCCGGCUGGGUCAGUGGCUCAGCCUACUUUUGAUGGUAGCGGUGCAUCCAAUAGCAUUGACACAUCCUCCUCGGCUCCACACAUUUGCGUGCCCCAUAGUUGUGUCAUGUGUGGACACAUAUGCUUGGGUCCAAUUGGAUACCCUGGUGAUCCUCCUACGCACAGUGUAGCUUAUGAGGUGCAUGAGAUGCACGAUGCACCAGAUGUUAUGACAUAGACUGGAGGAUACCCUGGAGACUCCUCACAUGCUAGAGGUGAGCAGGCACCUUCAUCAUACAUUGAUGAUGUAUUGGUAAGAUUUGUAUUUUCAUAGUUCAUUUUAUAUUUUAAAUGAAUAUUUAUAAUCUAGAUAAUAUUAAGUACUAAUUUUUAUUUACAUGGUCUAUUUAACAGUUGAUGACCAAGGAGGAGUUAACAUAGAUCUAGGGGGACACCUUGAUGGCCAUUUCAUUUGGCCUUCAUAGCUUGAUGGUCACAAGCUGCACGAGUGUGGGGUUGUGUGAUUUAGGAUCUGGUAGUGCAUUUGGAGACAAGGGAAAUGUAAUUGAAUAGAAUUCUUGGCUUUACAUCCUUGUUGACUACACCCAGUAUACCUAAAGAUGAAGAAGAAGAAGAAGAGAUGCCUCGAGUACAUGUUGUGUAUGAAAAUAUUUGAAAACAUACCUCCUCUACCAAAGACAUACAUCAAGAGUCCUGUAGAGCCAAAGAGAAAAUGUGGAGAUGCGGAUCCUUCAGAGCUAAGCAGUGCGGUGAAGAGGAUUGAUUUUGAUGAUCCAUUAGUAGCUUAGGAUGUUAUAGAUAGUUUUUUAGAUGCUUACAUGUCUAGUUGGAAUGUAUAUUUUGUAUAUGGACAUACAUUGAUGUAUAUAGACAUACAUUUUGUUUGAGUUGGCAUUUAUGCCAUAUUUGUGUAUGGACAUACACUUGUAAUCAUU